GUGCCAGCAGCCGCGGUAAUACAGAGGGUGCAAGCGUUGUUCGGAAUUACUGGGCGUAAAGCGCGUGUAGGUGGCGGGGUAAGUCGGGUGUGAAAUCCCUUGGCUCAACCAAGGAAGUGCACUCGAUACUGCUUCGCUUGAGUACCGGAGGGGAUGGCGGAAUUCCCGGUGUAGAGGUGAAAUUCGUAGAUAUCGGGAGGAACACCUGUGGCGAAGGCGGCCAUCUGGACGGUCACUGACACUGAGACGCGAAAGCGUGGGUAGCAAACAGGAUUAGAAACCCUUGUAGUCC
rnacentral:rRNA from 1 species